rnacentral:rRNA from 1 species
AGGACGAACGCUGGCGGCGUGCUUAACACAUGCAAGUCGAGCGGAAAGGCCCUUCGGGGUACUCGAGCGGCGAACGGGUGAGUAACACGUGAGCAACCUGCCCUUAGCUUCGGGAUAGCUCCGGGAAACCGGAAUUAAUACCGAAUAUGACUGCGGCUGACAUCAGCCACGGUGGAAAGUUUUUCGGCUGGGGAUGGACUCGCGGCCUAUCAGCUAGUUGGUGAGGUAACGGCCCACCAAGGCGACGACGGGUA